rnacentral:tRNA from 1 species
UAUGCUUUAGUGUAGGGUGCACAAAAGUUUUUGAUACUUUAAGUAAUAGUUCAAAUCUAUUGGGCAUAA